GACGAACGCUGGCGGCGUGCUUAACACAUGCAAGUCGAACGAUGAAGCUGGAGCUUGCUCUGGCGGAUUAGUGGCGAACGGGUGAGUAACACGUGAGAAAUCUGCCCUUGACUCUGGGAUAACUGCGGGAAACUGUAGCUAAUACCGGAUACUUUCCCUGGUGGGCAUCCACUGGGGAAGAAAGAAUUUCGGUCAAGGAUGAUCUCGCGGCCUAUCAGCUUGUUGGUGAGGUAAUGGCUCACCAAGGCGUCGACGGGUAGCCGGCCUGAGAGGGUGGACGGCCACAUUGGGACUGAGACACGGCCCAGACUCCUACGGGAGGCAGCAGUGGGGAAUAUUGCACAAUGGGCGCAAGCCUGAUGCAGCGACGCCGCGUGGGGGAUGAAGGCCUUCGGGUUGUAAACUCCUUUCAACCAUGACGAAGCAUUAUGUGACGGUAGUGGUAGAAGAAGCACCGGCUAACUACGUGCCAGCAGCCGCCGUAA
rnacentral:rRNA from 1 species